rnacentral:rRNA from 1 species
AUUGAACGCUGGCGGCAUGCCUUACACAUGCAAGUCGAACGACGUUACGGGGGCAACUCCGUAGCGAGUGGCGAACGGGUGAGUAAUGCAUCGGAACGUGCCCUCUUGUGGGGGAUAACCAGUCGAAAGAUUGGCUAAUACCGCAUGAGCUCGAGAGAGGAAAGCGGGGGAUCCGCAAGGACCUCGCGCGAGAGGAGCGGCCGAUGCCCGAUUAGCUAGUUGGUGGGGAAUAGCCCACCAAGGCGACGAUCGGUAGCUGGUCUGAGAGGACGACCAGCCACACUGGGACUGAGACACGGCCCAGACUCCUACGGGAGGCAGCAGUGGGGAAUUUUGGACAAUGGGGCAACCCUGAUCCAGCCAUGCCGCGUGUGUGAAGAAGGCCUGG